rnacentral:lncRNA from 1 species
AUUUCUAGUUUUAGCUGAGUUGCUGCUGUUGUAUAUGUUGGUUGUUUCAAAACCUUGCAGGGUUAAAAAGGAUUGUGAGUAGCAGGGAGAGGUAACUGAAGUAGGUGGUUUGAACAGCCUUCUCUGCUGCUGAAGGCAUUUAAUUCAGUUGCCAUUCAGAGCAUCUACUUGUAUUCUGCAAGGUCGGUGGAGAAAAGAGGUUUUGUGAGUCAGCAACCUGAUGGAGGUGACAGACACAAGCCUCUGCCCAGUGGUGCUGCAUGGAGUGACAUGUGGCUUCAGGACAACCUUCUGGAAGGUGCCAGGAGCCUCUGUUGAACAUUCAGUGCCCUCAGAAUCCUGUUGGUAUGAGUGGGAACUGAAAACUUCUGGUACUGAAGAGGAGGGCUUUAACUCUGAGGUGCUGCAGACAAGAAAAUGCAUUCCUGUUCCAGAACCUCCAGGUGUACAUAAGGAAAGAAACUGGACAGAGCAGAUGGGCAAAGCAAGUAUCAGCAUGCACACCUUUUCACAGGGAGUAUGUAAUCGCCAGCAUUUCACCUGUGCAGAAUCAGACAGAACUUUCUCAUUGCAUCCAACAGUGCUCUCUGCUGGUUAUGGGAUCAAGAUGCCUUGGCUGGCGUUCGCCCCACAUAACUGUGAGAGCAGAAAAUAA